AAUGCUUCACUGGCAGCAGUUCUGAGAAAUAGCUUGGCAUUAUGUGCGUGUCCAUUUAAUGCCGUCGGAAACGGCACGUCUUGUGGACUACAUCCGCCUCACACAUGACGUGUUGCUGAGAACAUCACGCAACGAGAAAGGAAGUACUCUGCAUAUGUACAGAGAAGCGUACUAUAAGAGCUGAAAAAACUCGUUAGGAAGCUAUCAGUUGAUGCUGAACCUUCGGAGACUCAACGUCACUGUCUAUGUCUUUGCAAAAGAUAAUUUGAAGAGCCUGGGGACCACAGUACGUACUGUAAGCCUGUCGGCAUUGGAAAAAGGAGCGUUGUCAUCCGAUUUAAGCACAUAACACGUCAUCAUCAAAUUUGGAACAACGGUGCUGGUUCAUCUGAAAGACUGCAAGAUUAACGUAUGU